CUACGGGAGGCAGCAGUGGGGAAUAUUGCACAAUGGGCGCAAGCCUGAUGCAGCCAUGCCGCGUGUAUGAAGAAGGCCUUCGGGUUGUAAAGUACUUUCAGCGGGGAGGAAGGGAGUAAAGUUAAUACCUUUGCUCAUUGACGUUACCCGCAGAAGAAGCACCGGCUAACUCCGUGCCAGCAGCCGCGGUAAUACGGAGGGGGCAAGCGGUAAUCGGAAUUACUGGGCGUAAAGCGCACGCAGGCGGUUUGUUAAGUCAGAUGUGAAAUCCCCGGGCUCAACCUGGGAACUGCAUCUGAUACUGGCAAGCUUGAGUCUCGGAGAGGGGGGUAGAAUUCCAGGUGUAGCGGUGAAAUGCGUAGAGAUCUGGAGGAAUACCGGUGGCGAAGGCGGCCCCCUGGACGAAGACUGACGCUCAGGUGCGAAAGCGUGGGGAGCAAACAGGAUUAGAUACCCUGGUAGUC
rnacentral:rRNA from 1 species